GAUGAACGCUGGCGGCGUGCCUAAUACAUGCAAGUCGAGCGAACAGAUGAGGAGCUUGCUCCUCUGACGUUAGCGGCGGACGGGUGAGUAACACGUGGAUAACCUACCUAUAAGACUGGGAUAACUUCGGGAAACCGGAGCUAAUACCGGAUAAUAUAUUGAACCGCAUGGUUCAAUAGUGAAAGACGGUUUUGCUGUCACUUAUAGAUGGAUCCGCGCCCCAUUAGCUAGUUGGUAAGGUAACGGCUUACCAAGGCAACGAUGCGUAGCCGACCUGAGAGGGUGAUCGGCCACACUGGAACUGAGACACGGUCCAGACUCCUACGGGAGGCAGCAGUAGGGAAUCUUCCGCAAUGGGCGAAAGCCUGACGGAGCAACGCCGCGUGAGUGAUGAAGGUCUUCGGAUCGUAAAACUCUGUUAUUAGGGAAGAACAAAUGUGUAAGUAACUAUGCACGUCUUGACGGUACCUAAUCAGAAAGCCACGGCUAACUACGUG
rnacentral:rRNA from 1 species